GAGGGUCUAGCUCGGUGGUAGAGCACGUGCUUAGUAAGCACAAGGUCCUGGUUUCAAUCCCCAGUACCUCCA
rnacentral:tRNA from 1 species